ACCAGCAAGUGAUGAACGAUAUCAGUCAAGCAGUGCACUCUCAGCACCUGAGUCAAUGAGAGUGAAACUCUCCGUGUAUCGAUAGGGAACAGUGCCACGUGCUGACCUCCAGCGCCAAAGCUGUGUGACCAUGCCCAGCUCUGGGCAGCGCUCCUGCCUGGGGAGGCCACCCCGGGCAGAGGCCGCAGGACGCGGGCACACAGCGGCUCCUCCAGCCCCGCACUGGGCAGUGCUGCCCGGCUGGACCUCGCUCACACAGAACUCCCUUCGCACACCUCGCCCACUGGGACCUCCCUUAAGCCGGAUCAGGGGCUGUGCCCGAGCUCUUUGCAGGGUAGCCUCAGGGCUGGAUGACAGGCAUUAAAUUCAGAAACAGGCUGUUUGCUCAGAGCUAGCUGAGCACGAGGGAUUUCCCCAAGCAUGGGAGAAGAUUCAGCGUGGAGAAGCAAUUUCAAACUCCAGCUUGACUGAAAAUCUACGGCUGCAGGCAGCAAACCUGUCUGAGCCUGAUGGAGAAGCAAUGAGGAAGAACAGAAGGAGGAGGUGAAGAAGGAGGAGGAGGUGAAAAAAAGAGCAGCAGCAGGAGGAGGAGGAGGAGGAGGAGGGCUGCCCGGCAGGAGGGAUCGCGCUGGGCGGUGGGACCGCGGGGCGAGGAGCACCCAGCAGUGGGUGCAGCCGUCGGGACAAGGUGCAGGUUUUUCUCUUCCCUUCCGAGCCAAGAAAGCCCGGCACCUUGAAGGAAGUAAAAAGGGCUCCUAAGAAGGAGCAGGGACUCACCUUCUUUGCUUUUCCCGUUGCCGCCAGGUGCCUUCCCCGGCAGCAGACCCGCCCGGGCUUGCGGGGCGCCGCCGGGGGCGGUGGGAGGCACUGGGGGAGUUCGCGGCGGAGCUUAAAGGCACAGGCUGAGCGACAGGAACGGCUCAGCCUGAAGAGCUGGUUUGCUGCUUUCACUGAACUUUGAAAUUAAGCAAUUUCCACCCCCAGCUCCCCCUCCCCCCGCGUGCUCCCCAGCUGCCUGCGUUGGAAGCUGGAUCAGUGAUGCCCGAGCUCCUGCCUCUCCCCAGUCACGAGACGUUCCUGCAGUUCCCUGUACAACUCCCAUCCUCCCCAGCAGCAGCACCUAAAGGAAAAGAGCUGCCUGAAGUGGGGUGGUGCAUACCUGCAGCACUGCACCACUGAAUUUCCCCCCAUCGGCAGCUCCCACACUGGGGAUGAUCUCUUAACCAUGCACACAGAAACCAUAAAGGGAGCGGUAUUCCCAAAAAAACCCCUACUAAUUUCCUCGGUCAGACGUCCAUAGCCCUUCCAGUUCAUACUGUAUUUACCAUCCUUAUCAUCCUAUUUAUCAUCAUUUAUGUGCUAGAACAGCCUAACUGCUGCACAGGAACGGGCAGGGAUUAUCCAACAUCACACACAGGCACAGCAGAGGCCAAAACUGGACAGAGUUCCUUGUGCUGAAGUUUAUUAAGGCCCACAAGUGACCCUUCUGCCAUCUUGAAAAGGCAAAAAAUAGAUGAAAAGCUGAGAACUUGUUUUGCUUUAGUCUGAGUUUUGGACUGCACAAGUCAUCUCUCAUCCAAUUGCCACUUCUGUCCCAGAGUAUCUUCAGUAAUAACAGCAAACCCGAAAAUUAUAAAAUUAUCAUAGAGAUUUCUCUGAAGUUGAUUUUGGUUAGAGUGUAUCCUUUCAUUCCUAACAUCUGCUGUCCCACGGAUCACUCCAGACUGAGCAGCAACGAGCAAAAUCUGUUUUAGGUUUCCUGCUGAGCAUCAAUAAUGAAGAUUUGGCUGGUUACAGAAUUACAGACUGGGCUGUACUGAAAGGGACCCAGAAGGAUCGCAUCCAGCUCUUAAGUGAAUGGCCCAAAUGAGGAUCAAACCCAUAACCUUGGUCUUAUUAGCACCAAGCCAAUAACCAGAAAAAAGCUGCAAUCUCUGAAUCUGAACAUGUUUGGCUAUGAGCCUGUGAACACCACAAGCAGUUCUUGCCCUUUCAGACAGACUGUACAUCCCUGUGAAAGAGCUGAGUGAGGGAGUGAUAUCCUUCUAAUGUUCAUCAGAUAAAGAGGAUCUGCACGUUUCUUUGUGUGAAUGGAGAUGAAAAACUGUGCAAUCAAAGCCCAAAAGUAACAAGGGGAGGAGGACUGCAAUAGGACAGCAGUAAAAGAAGAAACCAACAAAAUCUAUCAGUGGUUAAAUGUAAUAUAUGAUAGAGAUAAUUCAUGACUUGUAACUGUAUAAAAAUCAUUAUGAUCCAACCGUGCCUCUGACCCCCAUGGCCAGAAGCAGGGCUUUCCUCUCUAUUCAAAAGAUUUCCCGGACUCGCCCAGAUAAAAUCAUGACUAUUAACGAAUGAAUGAGUCCUUCCCGGGCAAUCAUCGACCAUUUCCCAGGAAUGUCCAGAACACUCACAGAAUGGCACCUGGAAGAGAUUACAUCGAGGAACGGGUGACAUCCUGGCUACAGCUGAAAAGAAGACCAUUUAGAGGAGCCCAGACAGCCAUCCAAACCUAUGGACUGACUUUUGUAUGGGACUGAAUCUGUACAGUCCCCGAUAUACAUAUGUAGGAACUUACAGAAAUCUGACAUCAUUUCUGCUCCAGGCAGAACAAACUGUAUAUAAGCUGGCUACCUGGAGCAGUUGGUGUGACACUCUGGGGAGACGCUGACACUACGUCGGUCUGUCCCAAGUUCACCCAGCGUCAAAGUCCGGGGUUGACACUGUCUUGGCUGUGUUGGUUUUAUAAUAUUCUAAUUUUGGUUGUCGAUCUAAUAAAUUUAUAAAUUUUUUUUUAUAAA